rnacentral:misc_RNA from 1 species
AACUUUCGGCAACGGAUCUCUUGGCUCUCGCAUCGAUAAAGAACGCAGCGAAAUGCGAUACGUAAUGUGAAUUGCAGAAUUCAGUGAAUCAUCGAAUCUUUGAACGCACCUUGCGCCCUUUGGUAUUCCGAGGGGCACACCCGUUUGAGUGUCGUGACAUUCUCAAAACCUUCUCGGUUUCUCGACCGGGAAGGCUUUGGACUUUGGAGGCUUUUGCUGGCAUUCCUUUGUUGGAGCCCAGCUCCUCUGAAAUGAAUUAGUGGGGUCUGCUUUGCCGAUCCUUGACGUGAUAAGAUGUUUUCUACGUCUUGGGUUUUAGCACUCCUGCUUCUAACCGUCUCACAGUAGACAAAUGGUCCACUCGACCCACAAACCUUGACCUCAAAUCGGGUGAGACUACCCGCUGAACUUAAGCAUAUCAAUAAGCGGAGGC